CGUUUCCAGGGAACGUAAAACAUGUGUUUGGACAGGUAAUAACAUCACGCGCGAAGGGCAGUGAUUUGGCGUUGUAGUAAGCUAAAUAGCAGAUUGUGUUAUUAAUUUAAAAGUAGCUCUGUCUGUCUGUAACGUUUUCACACUACGACUAAACCGAUUUGGAUAAAGCUCUAUCCAAAAAUAGAAUUAUUUGAAAUAUCAAGGCUACCUUUCAGCCCAUUGUAGAUUGCGGAUUUGGAACUACGUUAUUGAAAACACAGGUAAAACAGCCAAUCUAGAGCUGGUUAGGUAUUAUAUUUUUACGAUUAUUUAACAAAGGAUAUCUACAACGUAUCGUAAUAAGAAUUUAGGCUUGAAUGGAUGUAUGCCAAUCUUUACUAGUAAUUAUGUAACUUAAUAUAACAAUGUCUUUGA